CUGGUGAGUAACACGUAAGUAACCUGCCCUUUAGAUGGGGACAACCUAGGGAAACCCGGGCUAAUACCCAAUAUGCUCAAGAGCCGCAAUGCUCAAUGAGGAAAGUUCCGACGCUGAAGGAUGGGCUUGCGCAUGAUUAGUUUGUUGGUAGGGUAAUGGCCUACCAAGACUACGAUCAUUAGCUGGUCUGAGAGGAUGGUCAGCCACACUGGGACUGAGAUACGGCCCAGACUCCUACGGGAGGCAGCAGUGGGGAAUUUUGCGCAAUGGGGGAAACCCUGACGCAGCGACGCCGUGUGAAUGAUGAAGCCUUUCGGGGUGUAAAGUUCUGUCAGCAGGGAAGAUAGUGACGGUACCUGCAGAGGAAGCUCCGGCUAAUUAUGUGCCAGCAGCCGCGGUAAUACAUAAGGAGCGAGCGUUAUCCGGAUUUACUGGGCGUAAAGGGCGCGUAGGCGGUAAGGUAAGUUAGGUGUUAAGGGUUCCAGCUCAACUGGGACAUGCAUUUAAAACUGCUUUACUAGAGAGUGGGAGAGGAAAGUGGAAUUCACAGUGUAGCGGUGAAAUGCGUAGAUAUUGUGAGGAACACCAGUGGCGAAGGCGGCUUUCUGGACCACAUCUGACGCUGAGGCGCGAAAGCGUGGGGAGCAAACAGGAUUAGAUACCCUGGUAGUCCACGCUGUAAACGGUGUUCAUUGGGUGUAGGAGGUAUCGACCCCUUCUGUGCCGCAGCUAACGCGUUAAAUGAACCGCCUGGGGAGUACGGCCGCAAGGUUGAAACUCAAAGAAAUUGACGGGGGCCCGCACAAGCAGUGGAGCAUGUGGUUUAAUUCGACGAUACGCGAAAAACCUUACCAAGGUUUGAAGUCUAGCGAAUCCUAUGGAAACAUGGGAGUGCCCUUCGGGGAACGCUAAGGCAGGUGGUGCAUGGUUGUCGUCAGUUCGUGCCGUGAGGUGUUGGGUUAAGUCCCGCAACGAACGCAACCCUUGACGCGUGUUGCCAGCAUUAAGUUGGGAACUCACGCGUGACUGCCUGUACAAGCAGGAGGAAGGAGAGGAUGACGUCAAAUCCUCAUGCCCCUUAUAUCUUGGGCUACACACAUGCUACA
rnacentral:rRNA from 1 species